rnacentral:misc_RNA from 1 species
AAUCGAUGUUCAAAGAGAAGUCACAUAAUCGCUUAACACAAGUACCACAGAUAUCAAAAAAACACUCUAGGUGACUACAGAAGAAGACAUCAUAGACAAAAACAAGAAACCUAGCUCAUCCUUUGAGCAAUUUCCUUCUGAAGGAGCCUCUCCUUGGCUUUAGUUUUUGCCUGAGAUUUAGAUCCCAUGAUGCCACCUCCCCACUUCUUCCGGACCUCAUCAAACUUAUCAUUGAAGUUUGCCUUGAUAGCCUCCAAGAUUUUACUGAACUCGAGCUUGUCCUCAUUCUUGACUGUGGUGAGGCACAG